UCAGCAGGUGGGCUAAUCCUUCCUCCAUUGAAAGGCUUAGAGCAUAAUGAUAGUAGUUUCCUUGUUUGAUUCUGUGUCUGUAUAACUAGGAUUUACAAUACCCUGCUUGCUCUUAUCUGAU
ensembl:snoRNA U8 U8 small nucleolar RNA